UAGUGUUUCCAUGUAGAGCCGAAAUCUUCCACAUUUAGCCAAAAAAACAUAGGAGGGCCAGGCGAGCCAGAGUUUGCCAUCGGAGCAAAAAUCAAAGGAGGAAAAAAACAAACGUGGCCUCCCUUUCCUCCGCAAUCGGAUCCCUGCCAGCAUGGCCAUGCCGCCGCGGCCUGCAGAGUCCGCCCGGAUGGAGGAAACGCUUGGGGCGAGGGAGAGGUCUAGGCGUCGUCCCGGUGCUCGUCUCCCUCUGGUGUCCGGUGUUGUCUGCUGGCUGCUGCUGCUGUGUGCGCGGGAGAUUGGGAGGAGGCUUCAGAUGGGAUGGAAGAAUUUUAUACUGAUUAACUAUCUUCUGUGGGAAGCUUCAGCUGUUGAUUUCAGCAGAAGAUGUGUGGUGUGCUGCUGCUAUUUCGGCGACAACGCUAACACAGAGAUUGGUACUUUGGUGUGUUCCUUGGAUGGACGACCGGUCAAGGUCAGAUGAUCAAUUCACUUCUUGGCUGCCGCUGCCAAGUUUACUAUUAUGAAUCUAAUCCCUCCUAUUAUUCUCUUGUUGUUACAAAUCUUCUCACUUCACAAUGUUUUGGCGUGACAUGCUUUGGGCGGCUUGCUUUCACACAUGGAACAAACUGAUUAUAUUUAUUUCAGGUACAAAGAUUAUUUGCAGGAGUACAAAGAGAAAUAUAUAGUCUACCCUUACUUGAAUAGUCAGAUAGAUAAAACACAGUAUUGUUACACUGAAUUUUCCUUUUAAAGUUCCCCUUUGUAUUCUGUUUAUUUCUUAAGUCCAUGUCAUGUUAUCUCCUAUAAUUGGCCUGCUUGUUACGCAAUUUUGAAGCUAAAGGUUCAUGCGGAUUUCAAUGUUGCUAAAGAAAGAUACAACGAUCGGUGCUACAUUGUUGAAAGACUCAAAGACAUGUAUCAUGAGUCAGACACAGUAAUUAAGUUUUCUACAUGCCUUUUCCUUACUGACUAAACCUGAGUACAUGAUUAUUUUCAAUUUUCUCAGAGGAGCGGUAGCGAAGGGAACACACAACAAUUGUUGUCAUAUGCACCACGAGCACGGUGGGUGGUAGAUUACGCGGACACUGGGCGUCGUCUUGCUUCUUUUGUUCUGCUUAUUAAUUAAUUCUCUAUCUAUUUAUGAUGAUGCAAUUUUGGGUUGUGUGUGCUGCUGCUGCUUACACAUAACAAAUAAUAUUGAUAUGAAUUUUUCUUCUUCAGUUGCUAAUGCACUGAUAUGUUAUUGUUCAUGCACAUGUACUUAGCACCCACAUUUCCAUGUCUCCUUCAAUUUGUUGCAGAUUUCUUCCAAGUAUAGUGAGCUACUUUAUUAAUGUGAACUUUUACUUCUUGCAGUUGCUAAUGUAUUGAUAUUUUUUUGUUCAUGCUCAUGUGUUGUAGCUCCCACAUCUUUCUCUGUCUCCUUCAAUUUGUUGUUCAUGCUCAUGUGAUGUAGACUACACACGGCAUGCCGGUGCAGGAGGUGGCGUUGCGAUGUGUUGGAUCUGAUCUUUUUUUCUCCUGCUAUACGGUUGCUUUGAGUGGUGAUGCCAGGAAUGAGGAGCGGACACCUACGUCAUGUGUCACCAGUGGAGGAAGGAAGGCAAGAAGAAGCUCUCCAACACCAACUUCACAUUGUUCCGUAGUUUGAUUCGUUAUAUUUCCCCCGAGUUCCAUGUUCCCCCCUUUUCCAUUCCAUGCAUGCGUUGUGUUGUGUGUGGUAAAGUAAUUUCAAGAAGAAUCGUCGUGCGCUAUUAUUUACGUGUGUUGCUAUAUUUGCCGGUGAAUUUGCAGGACAUUUAAAUGCGUUAGUUAACUAGGGCGUUUGUGUUGAUCUAGGACAUCUGGACGUAGCUGUUCUACUCCUUAUUUAGCCAGAAGAAUUCCUAGCUGGGACGAAGGAUUGGGAGGCAAAUAUAGAAGAUCAAGAAGAAUUUGACCCAAAAGAGCCAGCAAUAUAGAAGACAAGGGAGGGGGGUCAUGAAAAGAGGUCCUCACCUUGGGUGUCGUCCCUCCUACCCACAUCCGGACAGAGAGCGGUGAACCCUGCUGCAUCGACCAGUCGGAUCCGACUAAUUCCAUGUCAGACUAGCGGAUGCACUGGCUUGGUGUCAAUGCGGUGGUGCGAGAGAUUGUCGGGCAGAUAAAGGGGCCGGCAACACCGUGGCAGGAGAGGAGGAUGCAGGUGACGUUGUCGAGGGACUUGUGGAGAAAGGGGACACGAUAGACGACAGGGAUAGGAGAUGCUAGCCGACGCCAUGGAGGGAAGAGGAGGAUGAGGUGGACGGGCUCCUGUAGUGGUGUGGAGAGGAGGAGCAUCGAUGAUGUGGCGGGGAGAGGAGGGGCCGGCUGCGGCAGGGAGAGGAGUAACUGGCGCACGCCGUGCAGGGGUGAAACGAUUACGUGGACUGAAGGGGAGGCACGAUGAUGGAUAUGGCUGUGAGUGGAGACAGUGAGAGGACUACCCUGACCUUUGGCCGCUGUGCGGUGAGGAUAAGGUUGUGUAGAUUCAACACGAGAUCUAAAGUUCCGCGUGAAGCCAAACAUUCAGUUGUUGACAACAUUGUUUGAUAGUUGUCCAGGUAGACAAUAACAUCUCAUCGUGCGACCUGGCAAGUAACGUCUCUUGUCAUUGUUGUCAUGGUUUACGGUUUUUAAUUGCUACCGCUUGUAAAUUUAUCUUCCAUAUGCAAAUUAGACCCUAUCCAUGGUUCGAUAUAUCUUGUACAUCAUCGAAAAACAUGCAAGCAUGUAUAUAUUUUAGACCCUAUCCAUACAUCAGCCAAAGGUUAAAACUCCAAGGAAUUUACUGAUUACAAUGAUUU